rnacentral:lncRNA from 1 species
UUAUUCCGGAGAAUUACAUCUAUGUCUUCCGUGGAGUUCCUCUGCAGGUUGAGUCAUGCAAACUGAAUGUUUCCUAGACGGAAUAGAUGCAUUGUCUUUCAAAACUAGAAGCAAACCAGAAUGAGGCAGCAAGACUCCUUGAAUGGUUAAUGCUUGGCAAACAAAAAUGGAGAUUCCAGAUGCCACCAUCACCUUUGACUUGAGAGUUGCAGCUGAGGCUUUUGGUGAGACAUCUAGGACAUCUGAGCAACAAGAUGUUGAAACUCGUCAUUUGAAGGCAGAAAGCAUGUGGGAUACAAAUCACCUCUGAUACACCCUUUGAUACCUUUUUCUAAUAAAUAUUAUGCACUUUUUAGUCA